GUCUGUUUAGCUCAGUGGGAGAGCGACGGUCUGAAGCUUGGAAUUCGACUCAGAAUUCUUGGCAUACCGCAGGUCCUGUGUUCAAUCCACAGAACGGACA